GCUGGCGUCUUCGGCGUCCGCAUUGUAAUCUCAAGAAGUGUUUUCCGCUUCGGACCAAGCCUAAGUCCCUUGGAAAAGGGCAUCAUAGAGGGUGAUAAUCCCGUACAUGGCUUGGAGCGCCCGAAGCUUUGUGAUACGCUUUCUAAGAGUCGAGUUGUUUGGGAAUGCAGCUCAAAAUGGGUGGUAAAUGCCAUCUAAGGCUAAAUAUUGGGGAGAGACCGAUAGCGAACAAGUACAGUGAUGGAAAGAUGAAAAGAACUUUGAAAAGAGAGUUAAACAGUACGUGAAAUUGCCAAAAGGGAAGGGUAGGAGGUCAGAGAUGCGGCCUGGGAUUCAGCCUUGCUUUUGCUUGGUGUUUUUCCCAGAUUGCAGGCCAACGUCGGUUUUGGGCACUGGAGAAGGGUAGGAGGAACGUGGCACCUCUCGGGGUGUGUUAUAGCCUCCUACUGGAUACAGCGACCGAGACCGAGGACAGCAGCGUACUCGCAAGAGCGGGCCUUCGGGCACCUUUACGCUUAGGGCGUUGGCAUAAUGGCCCUCUACCACCCGUCUU
rnacentral:rRNA from 1 species